AGAACGAACGUUAGCGGCGCGCCUAACACAUGCAAGUCGCACGAGAAAGGGACUUCGGUCCUGAGUACAGUGGCGCACGGGUGAGUAACACGUGAAUAAUCUACCUCCGAGUGGGGAAUAACUGAGAGAAAUCUUAGCUAAUACCGCAUAACACUUACGAGUCAAAGCAGCAAUGCGCUUGGAGAGGAGUUCGCGGCAGAUUAGUUAGUUGGCGGGGUAAUGGCCCACCAAGACGAUGAUCUGUA
rnacentral:rRNA from 1 species